rnacentral:tRNA from 1 species
CCGCCGCUAGCUCAUCCGGACAGAGCAUCAACCUUCUAAGUUGACUGUGCGGGGGUCAAGUCCCCGGUGGCGGUCCA